AGGCCUCUCAGCGCGUUGAGCAGUAAAAUCAGACCAGCUCCAACGGUCCUUCCUCUUCCCAAGCUGCAGCGAUGGGGAAACUUUCACAGAUUUUCCCUGCAGGUUCUGAUCCCGGUUCUGCUGCUGUGACCAGAACCAGUUCCGGAUGUUUGGUCCAGUUUCCUGACGUGCAGAAACCUCUGGUUUGUUUUCUCCCAGAUUUCUGCCUGCAGCUCCAGGCUGACUCACCCGUUCAUUAUUAACUGUGCUGUCGCUACGGCGACGACACGGUCGUGCCCUUGCCGUCGUCUUCCCACCCUGGCGCCCAGACAGGAGGCACCCAUGUCAUCUGCAGGAUUUCUGCUGCUGUUUUCAUCCAGUUUUGUUCUCUGCUGCUAAAUGAGGCGCAGCUGAGACUAAAAUUAGAAACUUUAUUCACAUCAGUUCAUUAAAAAUCUGCAGACUGAACAUCUGACUGAUGUCCAGGAUUUUACCAGUGAAACUUUUCUGGUCCAGUUCCACUUUGAAAAGAAUAAUAUUCAGGAACUGAACUAAAAUAUCCAAAUCUAACUAAUAUAAAUACAUUUUAAUGAAUUAGUUCUUAAUCCAAGCUGGAUUUACACCACUUGUUUUAGUUUCCACAACUAAACAGAGUUUUAUUUAUUUCCUGAUAUCCAGGGCUAUGAUAGUUUUUGGCUUUUCUUUAUAGUUUAGUUUUACUUUGUUUGUGUUAUUCAGUUAGUUUUAAGUAGUUUUAACGUGUUUUAAUUAGGUAGUAAAUAUUAUUAAGUGUUUAUUUGUAGUAAUAGUUUUAGUUUUUUCAUACUUUGGUUCAUUUUUAGGUGCAGAAUGUAAAAAGAUUAAAUGGUUAUAUUGUGUUUAUGUUUUAUUGGAGAAUGAUGGCAUUUUUUCCCAACUUCCUCUGCCGCCAUUUUGUUGUCCGGCCACCAGGAGGCGUAUGAAGUGCCGUAAUUUGCUGACUGCUGACGUAAACUGGUUGUGUGGUAAAAAAUAAAUCAUUUCAUAUCAGUUCAGAAGUCUAAUGAGUAGAAUAAUAAACACGAAAUCAUAUCUA